GCGUCUCCCUUCGCUUGUGCAUGGUCUGUCCUGUGCCUGGGAGCCGAGACUGCCACCGAGCGUGUCAGAAAGAAACGUCUCUCCUGCUAGAGCCACGGUGCGGUACCUUUCUGCUGGGAGUGCUUCUCUAUGGGAACCAGGAUUGACACUGGGCUGUGCAGGAAGAAGCAAAAUGCUGAGGCAAAGCACCCCACAGCAGGAACACGCGUCCAUGUGUGCUACCAUCGUGGGAAACCAACACCACCAGCAAAACUGGACACAAACAAUUAAUUCCCUGGAUUUUGCUGCUCCUUCUCAGGGCCAUAAGUGGGAGAGGAAGCUGGAGCUUGUCUUUGAAGACAAGAAUUCACAGAGCUUGGAAUCCCAAGAGGCAAGAGGCAAAGGGGGAGUCUGAAGCAAAACAGAAGCUAAGUUGCUCAGCCAACCGAGUUCAUCAAGCCUGUGGUGGAGCUUGGACCUGAAUGCACUGGCUUCCAGUGAAGUGUCUUAAUGUCUAGGUACCUGCAGACUUCCAACUGUCACAGAGCUGAAGACAAGGUUGAAAAUGUGACCUGGGUGGCAUUUGCCUGAUUGUGCAGCCUGUCGACACAAAAGCUUCAACAAAUGCAAACUGUUCCCCUUCCACUGAAGGUAACAGAGACGUGUAUGGGAGCACCAUUGCCUGGAGGCCCCAGCCUCAUUGUGCUAAGGACUCCACAGACACAUAAAGAAGAGACAGUCCCUGCUCUGAAGAUGAAUGAGGAAAACCCCCGAUGGGGCUGGGAACAGCUGUGGCAUAUAUCCAUCAAGCUGAUGGAGCAUGUUUACAAGGGGCACAGGAGCAAUAGGGAACAGGCAAUGUGCACACGGUGGCUGCUCUGGAUCCUCAGCUCGCUGCUGCUGUUGGGUUCUACUACAUGGUCAUGGACGUCCUCCCCUGCAUUGCUGCCAGCAGCAG